rnacentral:miRNA from 1 species
GCUGACACAUCCCUGCCAAUCUCCGGCAGACCCUUCCUCCCAGACCCUCCACCUCCUGGACAGCAUCCAUGUUGAAGCUGCCUUCAACAUGGAUGCUGUCCAGGAAGUAGGAGGGUCUGGGAGGGAGGGUCUGCUGGAGAUUGGCCGGGAUGUGUCAG